rnacentral:rRNA from 1 species
AUUUUAUUUAUUAAUUUAUUUAUUUUUUUUUAUUUUGUAUUAGAAAUAACUAUAAAAAAAUUGUUUUAGUAUUUUAUAAAGAAUAAAUAAUAUUUAUAAUAGUAUAUUAGUAUUGUGAAAGAAAAUUGAAAUAAUUUGAAAAAUAUUUAUUUAAAAAGAAAAUUUAAUUUAUUGUACCUUGUGUAUCAGGGUUUAUCAAUUAAAAUAUAAAUUUUUAUAUUUCUCGAUUUUAAAAGAGUUAAUAAAUUAUUAAAGUUAUUGUGAUAAAAUUAUUUUAAAUAAUUUAUUAGAAAUGAAAUGUUAUUCGUUUUUAAUGGUAUCUAGUUUUUUAAGAAAUAAAUUUAAUUUAGAAAUUAUUAAGUAAAUAUUUAUUUAAAUAAAUAUUUUAUAUUAAUAAUUUUAAUAUAUUAUGGGAUAAGCUGUAAUAUAAAGAUUUAAAAAUAUAAAAUUAAAUAAUAAUGUAUGCUUAGAAUUAGCAAUCAUUAAUAAGUUUGUUAUAAAUUAUUUAUAUAUAAAAAUGAUUUAUUAUAUUUUAAGUUUUUAUUAAAAUAAUUUUUUUAAUUUUAUAAAAAAUGUAAUAAUGAUAAAAUUAGUAUAUUAUAUUGUAAAAAUAUAUUUAUUUGAUAAGUUUAUUUAAAGAAUUCGGCAAAAUUAAUGCUCGCCUGUUUAACAAAAACAUGUCUUUUUGAGUUAAUUAAAAAGUCUAACCUGCCCACUGAAUUUUUAAAUGGCCGCAGUAUCCUAACUCUGCAAAGGUAGCAUAAUCAUUAGUCUUUUAAUUGAAGGCUGGAAUGAAUGGUUGGACGAGGUAUUAACUGUUUCAAAUAAAUUUUUUAUAGAAUUUUAUUUUUUAGUCAAAAAGCUAAAAUUUAAUUAAAAGACGAGAAGACCCUAUAAAUCUUUACUUAAAAUUAUAUUUUAAUUAUAUAGAUAAAUUUUAUUAUAAUAAAAUUUUAAGUUUUAUUGGGGUGAUAUUAAAAUUUAAUAAACUUUUAAUUUUAAAAAAACAUAAAUUAAUGAAUAAUUGAUCCAUUAAUAAUGAUUAAAAAUUUAAGUUACUUUAGGGAUAACAGCGUAAUUUUUUUGGAGAGUUCAUAUCGAUAAAAAAGAUUGCGACCUCGAUGUUGGAUUAAGAAAAAUUUUAGGUGUAGCCGCUUAAAUAUUAAGUCUGUUCGACUUUUAAAUUCUUACAUGAUCUGAGUUCAAACCGGCGUAAGCCAGGUUGGUUUCUAUCUUUAAUUUAUUAUAAUAUUUUAGUACGAAAGGACCAAAUAUUAGAAUUAUAAAAUUUUUAAUUAUGAAUAUAAUUAAUA